rnacentral:rRNA from 1 species
CGAUACGGGAAGGUAGUGCCAAUAAAUACCAAUACAGGGUUUAAUAGUCUUGUAAUUGNAAUGAGGACAAUUUAAAUCUCUUANCGAGGAACAAUUGNAGGGCAAGUCUGGUGCCAGCAGCCGCGGUAAUUCNAGCUCCAAUAGCGUAUAUUAAAGUUGUUGCAGUUAAAAAGCUCGUAGUUGAAUUUUAGGCCUGGUUGACGGUCUGCUCUAGGGUUUGACUGUCCUGACUGGGUCUUACCUUCUGGUGAGCUGUCGUAUUGUUUACUCAGUGCGGCAGGGAACCGGGACUUUUACUUUGAAAAAAUUAGAGUGUUUAAAGCAGGCAUUCGCUUGAAUACAUUAGCAUGGAAUAAUAGAAUAGGACUUUGGUUCUAUUUUGUUGGUUUCUAGGACCGAAGUAAUGAUUAAUAGGGAUAGUUGGGGGCAUUAGUAUUUAAUUGUCAGAGGUGAAAUUCUUGGAUUUAUUAAAGACUAACUUCUGCGAAAGCAUUUGCCAAGGAUGUUUUCAUUAAUCAAGAACGAAAGUUAGGGGAUCGAAGACGAUCAGAUACCGUCGUAGUCUUAACCAUAAACUAUGCCGACUAGGGAUCAGGCAAGGAUAUUUUGACUUGUUUGGCACCUUAUGAGAAAUCAAAGUUUUUGGGUUCCGGGGGGAGUAUGGUCGCAGGGCUGAAACUUAAAGGAAUUGGCGGAAGGGCACCACCAGGAGUGGAGCCUGCGGCUUAAUUUGACU